UACGAAGGGGGCAAGCGUUGUUCGGAAUUACUGGGCGUAAAGGGCGCGCAGGCGGCGUUCCAAGUCAGGCGUGAAAGCCCCGGGCUUAACCUGGGAAAUGCGCUUGAGACUGGAAUGCUUGAGUUCGGGAGAGGUGAGUGGAAUUCCCAGUGUAGAGGUGAAAUUCGUAGAUAUUGGGAAGAACACCGGUGGCGAAGGCGGCUCACUGGACCGAUACUGACGCUGAGGCGCGAAAGCGUGGGGAGCAAACAGG
rnacentral:rRNA from 1 species